AGAGUUUGAUCAUGGCUCAGAUUGAACGCUGGCGGCAGGCCUAACACAUGCAAGUCGAACGGACCCUUCGGGGUUAGUGGCGGACGGGUGAGUAACACGUGGGAACGUGCCUUUAGGUUCGGAAUAAGCCCGGGAAACUGGGUCUAAUACCGAAUGUGCCCUUCGGGGGAAAGAUUUAUCGCCUUUAGAGCGGCCCGCGUCUGAUUAGCUAGUUGGUAGUGUAAUGGACUACCAAGGCUACGAUCAGUAGCUGGUCUGAGAGGAUGAUCAGCCACAUUGGGACUGAGACACGGCCCAAACUCCUACGGG
rnacentral:rRNA from 1 species